AACGAACGUUAGCGGCGCGCCUAACACAUGCAAGUCGCACGAGAAAGGGCUUCGGCCCCGGUAAAGUGGCGCACGGGUGAGUAACACGUGGGUAACCUGCCCUCGAGCGGGGGAUAACAUUCCGAAAGGAGUGCUAAUACCGCAUAAGACCACGAUCUCGAAAGAGGACGAGGUAAAAGCUGGCCUCUGUAUACAAGCUAGCACUUGAGGAUGGGCCCGCGGCGCAUCAGGUAGUUGGUGAGGUAACGGCUCGCCAAGCCGAAGACGCGUAGCUGGUCUGAGAGGAUGAUCAGCCAAACUGGAACUGAGACACGGUCCAGACUCCUACGGGAGGCAGCAGUGGGGAAUCUUGCGCAAUGGGCGAAAGCCUGACGCAGCGACGCCGCGUGAGUGAUGAAGGCCUUCGGGUUGUAAAGCUCUGUGGGGCGAGACGAAUAAGUGCAGCCUAAUACGCUGCAUGAUGACGGUAUCGCCUUAGCAAGCACCGGCUAACUCUGUGCCAGCCGCCGCGGUAACAC
rnacentral:rRNA from 1 species